rnacentral:lncRNA from 10 species
UUUUUCAGCCUCCGCAGCAGCCAGCCAUCACUAACAGAAGUAAGGGGAGAAGUCUUAGCAACUUCAUUAGACAUUGUGAGACCAGGUCCUCGUUGCUGGAUACCUGUUUAUAUUGUGAACAACCUCUUCUCCAAAGCACCGUGUGAGUCCCGGAAUGUGUAAGGCUGACAGCAGCCGUUACCAGGAAUCAGGCCACCCUGACCUCAUGGUCCCGCGGAUGCUGCCAGGAAGCCCGAAAACUCCAUCCAAAGCUGCUGAGACAGAAUCUUUGGCAGAGCUGAAAGGAAGCUGAAAGGAGCGGUGCCGGGAGUUCCUGCCCAAAAAGGGGUGAGCACGGCACUUGGCAAACACGCAGCAUGUAUUAUGUGCUGAGUUAACACCCCUUAGUGUCAUUAUUAGCACUUUCAGAAAUAGCCAGCAAAGCUAUUUAGAGAGGGGGUUAAAAAAAACACCACCAAAACCUUUAACUUACUCCAAUAUUACUUCAGGUGCAUUAAUACUUUUAAAACCUAAAUUGUAGUCUUUCUACUUGUUGUUAAGUCAUCAUUAUUCUUCAGACUCAAAUUCUGGCAGUUCCUUGUUGAUAUAUUCCUUCGGUGUUUCUUUGGCAUUGCUGUUGAGUCUCAGAUCCCACAUUGGAGGAUCAGCUGCUACGAGGUGUAAUAUGAGGGUUAAGUGAAAGCAAACCCCA